UGAUGUUCCUGGCCCAAGUUCUGUGAUACACUUAGGCUCUGAGUCUGUGGUAGUCAGUGCAUAACAGAACUUUGGCCUGGUUCAACC
rnacentral:pre_miRNA from 15 species